rnacentral:rRNA from 1 species
UCCGGUUGAUCCUGCCAGAGGUCACUGCUAUCAAUGUUCGACUAAGCCAUGCGAGUUGAAUGUUCUUCGGAACAUGGCGUACUGCUCAGUAACACGUGGACAACCUGCCCUUGGGUCUGGCAUAACUCCGGGAAACUGGGAAUAAUUCCAGAUAAGCUCUGGAUACUGGAAUGUACUGGGGUCAAAACUCCCGGCCCCUUAAGAAGGAUCUGCCGGCCAUUAGGGAUUAAUGGGUGUAAUGCACCUACUAACCCACAACAGGUACAGGUUGUUAAAACCAGAACCCCGAAAAGGAUUCCGAAACAUGAAUUCCGGCCCUACCGGGCGGAACAAGGGCCAAAACUUUUCCAUGGCGGAAACCCCUAUUAAGGGAAUCUGAAUGGCCACACCAUGUGGUGGCUGGCCCCAAGUCUAAAUCACCUUGGCAACCAGGGCCCGGCCAAAACCGUGGCCGCCCCCCCCGUAACCCCCGCCGGCCCAAUGGUGGCCCUUAUUAAUGGGUCUUAAGGGUCCUGAACCCGGUUGAUCAAUCCUCUUGGAAAUCUUACGCCUUCACUGGUAAGGUUGUGGGGGAUACUGUUUACUUUGAAACCGGGAGAGGUAAGAGGUACUACAGGGGUAGGAGUGAAAUCUUGUGAUCCUUGAGGGACCACCAGUGGCGAAGGCGUCUCACCAGAACGGGUUCGACGGUGAGGGACGAAAGCUAGGGGCACGAACCGGAUUAGAUACCCGGGUAGUCCCAGCCGUAAACGAUGCUCGCUAGGUGUCAGUCAUGGUGCGACCGUGUCAGGUGCCGCAGGGAAGCCGUGAAGCGAGCCACCUGGGAAGUACGGCCGCAAGGCUGAAACUUAAAGGAAUUGGCGGGGGAGCACUACAACGGGUGGAGCCUGCGGUUUAAUUGGAUUCAACGCCGGAAAUCUCACCUGGGGCGACAGCAAUAUGUAGGUCAGGCUGAAGGUCUUACCUGAAUAGCUGAGAGGAGGUGCAUGGCCGUCGUCAGUUCGUACUGUGAAGCAUCCUGUUAAGUCAGGCAACGAGCGAGACCCGCAUCCACAGUUGCCAGCAUAUCCUUCGGAAUGAUGGGUACUCUGUGGGGACCGCCGAUGCUAAAUCGGAGGAAGGAGCGGGCUACGGUAGGUCAGUAUGCCCCGAAUCUCCAGGGCUACACGCGGGCUACAAUGACCGGUACAAUGGGUCUCUACCCCGAAAGGGGAUGGUAAUCUCAUAAACCCGACCGUAGUUCGGAUUGAGGGCUGCAACUCGCCCUCGUGAAGCUGGAAUCCGUAGUAAUCGCGUUUCAACAGAGCGCGGUGAAUACGUCCCUGCUCCUUGCACACACCGCCCGUCAAACCACCCGAGUGAGGUAUGGGUGAGGGCAUGUAUUCAUCCGCAUUCGAAUCUAAAUUUUGCAAGGGGGGUU